CACAUGCAAGUCGAACGGCAGCACGGGAGCUUGCUCCUGGUGGCGAGUGGCGAACGGGUGAGUAAUAUAUCGGAACGUAUCCAAUAAUGGGGGAUAACUAAUCGAAAGGUUGGCUAAUACCGCAUACGCCCUGAGGGGGAAAGCUGGGGAUCUUCGGACCUAGCGUUAAUGGAGCGGCCGAUAUCGGAUUAGCUAGUUGGUGAGGUAAAGGCUCACCAAGGCGACGAUCCGUAGCUGGUCUGAGAGGACGACCAGCCACACUGGAACUGAGACACGGUCCAGACUCCUACGGGAGGCAGCAGUGGGGAAUUUUGGACAAUGGGCGCAAGCCUGAUCCAGCCAUUCCGCGUGAGUGAAGAAGGCCUUCGGGUUGUAAAGCUCUUUCGCAAGGGAAGAAACGAUUUAGGUGAAUAAUCUAAGUUAAUGACGGUACCUUGAUAAGAAGCACCGGCUAACUACGUGCCAGCAGCCGCGGUAAUACGUAGGGUGCGAGCGUUAAUCGGAAUUACUGGGCGUAAAGCGUGCGCAGGCUGUUUUGUAAGUCAGAUGUGAAAUCCCCGAGCUCAACUUGGGAACUGCGUUUGAAACUACAAGACUAGAAUAUGUCAGAGGGGGGUAGAAUUCCACGUGUAGCAGUGAAAUGCGUAGAGAUGUGGAGGAAUAUCAAUGGCGAAGGCAGCCCCCUGGGAUAAUAUUGACGCUCAUGCACGAAAGCGUGGGGAGCAAACAGGAUUAGAUACCCUGGUAGUCCACGCCCUAAACGAUGUCAACUAGUUGUUGGUAGAGUAAAAUCUAUGAGUAACGCAGCUAACGCGUGAAGU
rnacentral:rRNA from 1 species